rnacentral:rRNA from 1 species
GUAGUCAUAUGCUUGUCUCAAAGACUAAGCCAUGCAUGUCUAAGUAUGAAUGUUAUACAGUGAAACUGCGAAUGGCUCAUUAAAACAGUUAUUGUUUAUUUGAUAAUCAAAUUUACAUGGAUAACCGUGGUAAUUCUAGAGCUAAUACAUGCUGAUAUGCCUGACUCUUAGGAAGGGCUGUAUUUAUUAGAUAACAAACCAAUAUUCCUCGUGUCUAUUGUGAUGACUCAUAAUAACUGAUCGAAUCGCAUGGACUUUGUCCGCGAUACAUCAUUCAAGUUUCUGCCCCAUCAGCUUUCGAUGGUAGUGUAUUGGACUACCAUGGCUUUAACGGGUAACGGAGGAUUAGGGUUCGAUUCCGGAGAGGGAGCCUGAGAAACGGCUACCACAUCUAAGGAAGGCAGCAGGCGCGUAAAUUACCCAAUCCUAAUUCAGGGAGGUAGUGACAAGAAAUAACGGACUGAGGCCUACGCUUCAGGAUUGCAAUGAGUAGAAUUUAAGCCCCUUUGCGAGGAUCAAUUGGAGGGCAAGUCUGGUGCCAGCAGCC